rnacentral:rRNA from 1 species
UACGUAGGGGGCAAGCGUUGUCCGGAAUCAUUGGGCGUAAAGGGCGCGUAGGCGGCCCAGUAAGUCCGCUGUAAAAGUCAAAGGCUCAACCUUUGAAUGCCGGUGGAUACUGCUGGGCUAGAGUCCGGAAGAGGCGAGUGGAAUUCCUGGUGUAGCGGUGGAAUGCGUAGAUAUCUGGAGGAACACCGGUGGCGAAGGCGGCAGUCCUGGACCAACACGUGACACUGAGGAGCGAAAGCCAGGGGAGACAAACGGG